AACCUUAUGGACCUGCGGGCGUAUACCUGCGGAGGGAUCAUUACAAGUGACCCCGGUCUAACCACCGGGAUGUUCAUAACCCUUUGUUGUCCGACUCUGUUGCCUCCGGGGCGACCCUGCCUUCGGGCGGGGGCUCCGGGUGGACACUUCAAACUCUUGCGUAACUUUGCAGUCUGAGUAAACUUAAUUAAUAAAUUAAAACUUUCAACAAUGGAUCUCAA
rnacentral:misc_RNA from 1 species